rnacentral:rRNA from 1 species
UACGGGGGGAGCAAGCGUUGUUCGGAUUUACUGGGCGUAAAGGGCGCGUAGGCGGCCACUGCAAGUCAGUUGUGAAAUCUCCGGGCUUAACCCGGAAAGGUAACUGAUACUGCAGGGCUAGAGUGCAGAAGGGGCAACUGGAAUUCUCGGUGUAGCGGUGAAAUGCGUAGAUAUCGAGAGGAACACCUGCGGCGAAGGCGGGUUGCUGGGCUGACACUGACGCUGAUGUGCGAAAGCCAGGGGAGCGAACGGG